UACGUAGGGUGCAAGCGUUAAUCGGAAUUACUGGGCGUAAAGCGCACGUAGGCGGAUCGUUAAGUCGGGGGUGAAAUCCUGGAGCUCAACUCCAGAACUGCCUUCGAUACUGGAGAGCUUGAGUCCGGGAGAGGUGAGUGGAACUGCGAGUGUAGAGGUGAAAUUCGUAGAUAUUCGCAAGAACACCAGUGGCGAAGGCGGCUCACUGGCCCGGUACUGACGCUGAGGUGCGAAAGCGUGGGGAGCAAACAGG
rnacentral:rRNA from 1 species